AAAUUUAAAUUUAAAUUUAAAUUUAAAUUGAAAUUGAAAUUGAAAUUGAAAUUUAAAUGUAAAUUGAAAU
ensembl:ncRNA H37A05.5 ncRNA